GGAACUGAAAUCAUUAGACCGUUUCUGAAACCAGUAGUGAAGUAUGUUGUUUAAUUAGAUGAUACACAAAAACCUUACCACAAUAUGAAUAUAUAUAAAAUAUAUUUACAAGCGCUGCACGGCUGUCUACAGUUAAUGUCGUGAGACUUUGGUUAGCUCCAUUAAAUUGACGUAAACCCUAAUUUUAUUUAUAAAUAUAAUUAACAUUGCUAUAUUUGAUGUUAAGAGGGAACAUGACA
rnacentral:rRNA from 1 species